AGUAAUUCCAUGUAGUACAUGACCAAACUAUGUCGCUGCAUGCGGACAGCAGAAGCAAAUCCUGACACAGCCAAUCAAUGCAACCCGAACCCAUAAAAAAACGCUGAACAAAUGGUUAUACUGCAUAAACGCCCAACUAAUAUUGCUUAAUGCAAUCAUACUACUCAAUACAUGCACAGUCUGAGUAACCCGAUAUUAACAGCAUGGACCCAUACGUACAAACGAAGACUGAAGAUCGGGCAUGAAGACUGAAGAAUGUGCAUAGGAAGAUGAACGACGCCGAUUGGGCCAAACAGGGCGUCCUACUACAUCCCGCUCGGGGCUCCUGGUUCCCAUGCAGUCCAUACGCAAGCCGCGGCUGAUCGGUUCGACGGGCUCAGGGCGAUGCCGGAGCUGAAGAUGCGGCCGCUGCUCACCAGGCCCACAGCCGGCGCCGCAAAGCAUGUCGACGGGGAGGAGGUGGUCACGGGAAGUUGCAGUGCGCCCCGAAGGCCAGGGAGCUGCGACGGCGGCUACACGUGAAGCUGAGCGACGGGCUGAAGGGGAAGACGUCAGCGGACGGGUACACUCCGGCGACCACCAUCGUGCCGCAGAGGCGACGCGCAAGGUGCCGACGCUAGCUGCAGGAAAGGCUCGUGGUUGUUAAGGAGUCAGCGAGGAUGACUUCCCAGCGAGCAUGGGAGAGAUGAUGAUCACGGCUAACGACGACGUCGAUGUCUGGGCGUCUUACCUCACCCUCAACGCCGCCGAGUACCACCGCGCCAUCGUGGCCGUGUCUGGAGCCAAGGCGCGGCGAGCCUGCAACACACUGCUCCGCUCCAUAGCUGCGUUUCUCCAGUUGUUCUCUUGGGCUCCAGCCGCCGCUAGUGCAAAGGACCUGGUCGCCAUGUCGGAGGCCAACAUGGGAACUUGGGAAGAGCCACGACAGUACUCCAUGGCCUGAGCGCUAAGCGCAGCCGCAGAGCAGAAGAGGAGCUGGGAAGGGAUGAUGGAAUGGCGCCGCCGCCGUCGCUCCAGGAGAGGAGACGGGAGCCUGCCGGCAGGGACGACCUGCCUACAGCAUAAGACAGCUUGACUGGUGCCGGUGCGUACGGUUGCCGAGCAUUGCUGGCAUCGGAACAGAUGGGAGCCUGCCAGCGAGGACUACGGCAUGGACCGAUGGCGAGGUGGGAUGUAGAUGUUGCUGGGAUUGAAAACGCAUGCAGGGACGCGAGGUGAGCUUCAGUGGCAACGGGAUGGAGAAGGACGCCGGCGUUUUAUAUUCCCGUACGGCGG
rnacentral:lncRNA from 1 species